GACGAACGCUGGCGGCGUGCCUAACACAUGCAAGUCGAACGAGGUCCAAGGGAGCUUGCUCCCUGAAGACCUAGUGGCGAACGGGUGAGUAACACGUGAGAAACCUGCCUCGGGAGUGGGGAAUAACUCGGGGGAAACUCGAGCUAAUACCGCAUACCUUCACACGAUCGCAUGGUCGAGUGAAGAAAGAAUUUCGCUCUGAGAGGGUCUCGCGGCCUAUCAGCUUGUUGGUGGGGUAACGGCCCACCAAGGCAACGACGGGUAGCUGGUUUGAGAGAACGAUCAGCCACACUGGCACUGAGAUACGGGCCAGACUCCUACGGGAGGCAGCAGUGAGGAAUAUUGCGCAAUGGGGCGAAAGCCUGACGCAGCGACGCCGCGUGGGGGAUGAAGGUUUUCGGAUUGUAAACCCUUUCAUGAGGAAAGAUAAAGUGGGUAACCACUUAGACGGUACCUCAAGAAGAAGCCACGGCUAACUUCGUAGCCAGCAGCCGCGGUAAAGUGACU
rnacentral:rRNA from 1 species